UACGAAGGGGGCUAGCGUUGUUCGGAUUUACUGGGCGUAAAGCGCACGUAGGCGGACUAUUAAGUCAGGGGUGAAAUCCCGGGGCUCAACCCCGGAACUGCCUUUGAUACUGGUAGUCUUGAGUUCGAGAGAGGUGAGUGGAACUGCGAGUGUAGAGGUGAAAUUCGUAGAUAUUCGCAAGAACACCAGUGGCGAAGGCGGCUCACUGGCCCGGUACUGACGCUGAGGUGCGAAAGCGUGGGGAGCAAACAGG
rnacentral:rRNA from 1 species